rnacentral:rRNA from 1 species
AGCGAACGCUGGCGGCAGGCCUAACACAUGCAAGUCGAACGAAGCCUUCGGGCUUAGUGGCGGACGGGUGAGUAACACGUGGGAACGUACCUUUUGGUUCGGAAUAACGCAGAGAGAUUUGCGCUAAUACCGAAUGAGCCCUUAGGGGGAAAGAUUUAUCGCCGAAAGAUCGGCCCGCGUUGGAUUAGGUAGUUGGUGUGGUAAAGGCGCACCAAGCCUACGAUCCAUAGCUGGUCUGAGAGGAUGAUCAGCCACACUGGGACUGAGACACGGCCCAGACUCCUACGGGAGGCAGCAGUGGGGAAUCUUGCGCAAUGGGCGAAAGCCUGACGCAGCCAUGCCGCGUGAAUGAUGAAGGUCUUAGGAUUGUAAAAUUCUUUUACCAGGGACGAUAAUGACGGUACCUGGAGAAAAAGCCCCGGCUAACUUCGUGCCAGCCGCCGCGGUAAAAC